UAUGCAAGACUGAUGGUAAUCAACUGUAUCACAUUUCUAGAAAGACCAGAGAUAGAAAGAUCCGUUUUCCCAUAAGUACAACAAACCUUAGAAAAUGGGAGAAUUUAAGCCGUCAUUCAAAUCCUUCCAAAGUAACUGCAGAGCAAAGGGCCAGAUCACAGUGUCCUCCCCUCGGCCCUCUCAUCUCUUCGGCACUAUGUGUGUAACACCCUCUGAUUCUUGUCUGUUUCAGUUCACUAACUCCCACUUGGCUCUGAAAGGCUGGCCUGGUGUACCUUAUCUCGCUCGAGGGAAAGCUGCAAGGUUGAUACACCCUUUGUGAAGACCUACGCAACACUGGGUUACUUGUAGCAGAGGUUACACACACUAGCCAAAGCAGGUCCGAGCUUAGUAGCAGCUGAAACCAAGCUGUGAUUGCGGUUUAGUAAUUUUGUACUGAGCCAGGAUGGUACUGGAAGAGAAAAAGAAGGUGGGCAUGGGAAGGAGCUGAAGAUUUGUUAGUAGUUACCCUUCGAGCAUGGAAGAGACUGGAAAGGUGUCGACAGGUCUGGAUGCAGAGAAGGAACAGGGAGAGCACAAACCGUGAGCUUGAAUGAGAAGCAAAGAAUAGCGUCUAGUCAGAAGCACGUCUCCCUGAGGCUGAGUGCCCACAGCUGAGCCCUUGAAAUGCACCGCCAGUGAGGCGUGCACGAGGCAUAGACGACAGGCGAAACUUAUGGACUGUUAAUGAUUUGAGGGCCGUGUAGCCCUAAUGUUGAUGGCGCCAAGGAAGAAGAUUAUGACGCAACCAUGUUCCUCGCGUGGGGUCUGCAAAGCAAGGCGUCUCUGACUCCCUUAUCUCCAACAGCAUGCAAAAUUACAUUGAAGUGUUAUGAUGUCCAUAACCAUUACCAAAUCAAUUAUAAAGUCAGUAUUAUGACCAGCAUGGUUGGAAUGAGCCUUUCAGAGCCGGCUUGCUAAAUUGAGAGGAUGGGUCAGACCUCCGCGAACAUGACCAUCUGAACUGGUGAGCCUUACGUCUCCUUCUUUGGCUGAAGCUUCGAGUUGUAGAAUGGAAUGGACUGGCUUGUCGAAGGGAGAUGGGUGAUAUCACUUGUUUGUUGGUUCUGCAAGAAGAAACGAAAGUCGAGGAGUGUGAAGGUGAAUCAUACCUCGGAGUGGAAGGGCAAUUACUCUUACAGGUCCUAAUGCUUCUUAACAUUCCUUUAGAUUGAUUAAGAACUCUUGAGCUGGUGAGACCUGUCUUGGCCCAAUACAGCAUUGAUGCCACAAUCACACGCUUGUUACCUAGGUGCAAAUUAAUUGUGUAAUAUGUGUUACAUGAAGAUGAUUGACUUUAAGAUCCUGAGACUAGAAGUGGUCAUUGUCCAGCAUUUUGUGCACUGAAAAGUUACAUUUACCUAGUGGAAACUAUUGUAAGCUCUAAGUGGGAAGUAAUGGCAUAUACUGUUGUGAAUUGAAGACAAGUCCUUGGUAAAUAAUUCAUUAUUACAAUAUAGGAAAUUCAACAUGGAUUAGUAUAGCAUUCUUCAGUAUUAGAUCGAAGUGGCACAAAAGUAAAACUAGACAAAAAUCAACAAUUUAAUGUAAUUUAGAUCACCUUUGUAGACUGGUAAAACAUCAAUAGAGAAGCAUAGACUAUUCUUGUUCAUUCCAGUUGUUUUCGAACUAGGGAUGUGACUGAGUCGUAGGCGGCUGAUCGCUAGGUGUGAGUGUGUAUAUAAUUGUUUCAUGUUGUCUUGAGUGGUAUAAUCGUCUGUGCACAGCGCUUCUUCACGUGCGGGUGAGGGCAUAUCUGGGCGAGAGGGCAUGCCUUCAGCUGAGAUCCCAUUACUACUUUUUUUUCUUGAGCUGGGUAACUUUAUCCAAUGUAUAAUUUCCUAAACAUUAAGAGUAGAGCAAGAGAAACAUUACGAUAUUGUGUAAACAGCUGAAAAGUUAUCCAUAAGAACGAAAAUGGCAGUUAAGGAAUAAUGAGGUUACACCAUCAGCCACCAGCUGAAGGCAGGGCCACUAAGUGUUACCAACAAGCUAACAAUGGUACAACGAUACCAAAAAUACCUUAAAUGAAUACCUGUUUACCUUGAUAUUUUCAUAAGAUAUAAUUGUUUGUCUAAUUCUAUUUGUUAUUCAGUUGAAAUAUUAGGCAAAAAUAACAUGUUAAAUUAAACUAGAAAAUGUUAUAGAACCAAAAGCGUAUAUUUUGUAAAUUAGUAUUAACCAGCCAUACUUGGCACGGACGUAUGGAUUUCCAUAAAUGCUUUUCUUAUGUAAAAGUUCAGAUUCUGAGAAAGAAAUGUAAUCAUAAUGCAGAUACGGUUAAUCAGCUGACUAUAUGUAAAUUUACAUAUUAAGGGAUAUUUUACCCGCUGAGGAUCACUUACGAUGAUCCUGGUGUAUUUGUUACCAAGUUCUGUCUUAGUCAGCUGUCAUAAUUCAAAGAAAAUAUGAAUAGGUAUUGAAGUGUAAGAGGAGUGUUACUAUUGGUAUAUCAUUUUCACGAAGCAUUAUGUAGAUGACUCAUAUGUUAAGAUCACUUGACCUUCACCCGUUUGUGCAUGGCCAUAGAAGCCAUUCUCGGUGGACCAAGACAUGCAUCAUAUGCCAGUUGUACAUGUUCAUGGAAGAUUGGCGAUUUCAGGAAGACACCAGAGUUUCCACAUCAGACAGAUCCUGGACAAAAUUGAAGUUUUACUCCUUUUUGGUAUAAGUUCAAAGUAAGAGCGUGUUUCGCUGGCCUGAUUUGUAUGAUAGAGUAGCGUUCUUGUGUUUUCAGCUAAACGAGGGGGCCCAACACCUCCUGGGAUCGUCAAGCCUUCGAUGCGCUUUUUAUUUCAUUUGCUAUUGUUGCCACCAUACGUGAAGCUAUUUUGAAAUAUGAAUAUGUUUGUAACAAAUACUUGCAACUUUUGUAUUGUUUAAUUGGCAUGAUAUAAGUUUUAAACUUAAGCCUACCAGAGUUGUUGAAAGAAAAUUUAUAUUAAACUUCCUCAAAAAUUUGUGCCAAGGCAAUCGAUUACCGUUUUGUAGCUUAAAUUGUAUAUUUAUACCAAUAAUAUUAUCUCUUUCACUUUUAUGAAAUCACCUUAACUACAGUUCUUUCUAGCGUAGUAUCAUGAUCUUUGUGUUUAUGUGUGAUGUCAGACAGGGCUAAAUCACAUUUCUUGUUUUUCACUGCACAGGACAGUAGCUCCAUGUCCCACUAGAUUAAUGCAGUGAUUGCUUAUUUUGCUUUCUAUUGUGCAUCAAGUUUCACUUAUAAAUAAAAUAUAAGUUACUCAUAUGUUA